AACGCACCUUGCACUCCUUGGUAUUCCGAGGAGUAUGUCUGUUUGAGUGUCGUGAAAUUCUCAACCCCAACUUUUCUUAUUGGAAAGGAUAUGUGGGAUUGGAUUAUGGCUAUUGUCAACUUCACAGUCGACUUAGCUGAAAUACACAAGCUACCCAAUCUGAUGCAGCGGUUUGACUUGGCGUGAUAAUUAUUUCGCUGAGUGCGCAUACAUCAUAGUGGUGCUUCUAAUUUAAUCGUAAACAUUUUUGACCUCAAAUCAGGCAGGACUACCCGCUGAACUUAA
rnacentral:misc_RNA from 1 species